AUGCUUUACUCAUCUUCCCCUGCUUGUUUGCCGUGUUUGGGAAAGAGAGCGCGAGAGAGAGAAAGCAAAAGGGUUUGCUCGUUUGGACUUUAGAGAGGGAGAUGGGGAUGGAGAAAAACGUGGGGACGACGUCAUCAUCAAUGCAAAACGCAGAGGAGCGUGGCGCCGGGGGCAAAUUAAGGAGGCCAACGCCACGCCGACCGCCGGCAACGCCUUACGCACGACCGCAGCAGAAUCAAUCCCAGCGGAGCGGCUGGCUCUCGAAGGUUGUGGAUCCGGCUUGCCGGCUUAUAGCUGGCGGCGCCGCCCGGAUUUUCCCUUAUCUCUUCUCCAAUUCGCCCGACAUUCGCGCCCUUCCUGCCCUAGAUAUUGAGAAACAGGAUCACGAUCCAUUUGACGCUGACUUGAAGCACCAUGAUGGUGGUGGUGAUCACAAUUGGACUGUACAUCAUUCAGAAUCAGGAUUUCCUGGAGUAGCGGGUCCUAGCAAAACAGCAGAUAGGUCAGAUGUUGCACCAAAACAAAGCAAAAUGGGGCUGAUUAAUGACGAUGAGCUUUCUGCAAUUGAGAAGCUGAUGGAGGGAAAGAAGUUUUCUAGGGAUGAAGUUGAUCAUCUAUUAGAGAUAAUAAAUUCAAGGGCUGUUGACCCAAGGGAUGCUGAUCAGGAAAAUAAGUAUCCAGGACUGACUAGAAAAGAAGAAAAAGAAGCUGUCAGGCCCGUAGUUACUCCAGAAGAUUCAAGAAGAACUGAAGAAAAGCAGGAGGAUGUGAAUAGAGUUCUGUUGGCAACCUCAACACCACUUCUCCAGUCAAGUAUGGCAGAUGAGGUUGGUGCUUCGCCAAUUGAAAUUGCAAGAGCCUACAUGGGAAGCCGGACAUCAGAUGUAAAUCAUGGUUCGAAGAGUCUAAUGUCAAAAGAUGAAAGGUUUUCACUGCACAGGGAUGGGUUUCCAUCAAAAUUACUUGUACCAUCUCCUUCCCUUAAGCCAUCAACAUGCUGGCCUGGUGCUAUAUUACGGGAUCAACGAGGUUACCUAAGCCCACAAAUUCAAAGAGGGAGAUCUGGGCUUCAUAAUUUCCCACGGACUCCAUAUUCUAGAACUAUCUAUUCAAAAGCAAAAUCCCAGUUGAAUCCAUUACAAGAUGGUAGCAGCAUGCACCGAAAUAUAUCUUCUACUUCUUUCCAACAGUUGCAAACUCCUUCGCAUGGCCUGUUUUCAUCAAGGAAGAAAGAAGUGGACAAUGAGCAUGGAUCAGUGGGACCCAUUCGUCGGAUUCAGCAUAGAGUUGUUGCAGAAACUCCUUCCAAAGAAUCCAUUUACUUCCGUUCUCCUUUAAAUGUUUCAUCUCAAUUGGAAAAUUCCAGUGUCUCAAAAAGCAUCUUUCCAGCUGUCGAGAAGAAUCUGGAACUCGGUGGAACAAUUGGUGUUUCUAUUUCUGAAUCAGAGGAGGGUAAGCGCAAAUGCUCUGCAGUGGGUAACCAAACAGUUCAUCCACAUUCUAGUCAGAUGGCUAGGACCAUACUGGAUCAUCUUGAGAGAAAUUUACCCACUCCAAAAGACAAGGCUGCUGAGUUAAAGUUAGUUACUUCGUGGAGGAAGUCCCAGUGUUCUGAUGUUGCUGAUGUAAUGGCAAAUGAGCAGAAUAACUUACCAUGUGGAGAAAGUUUUGACUUUAAAAAAUACAUUAAUCAAGCUGAACAGAAGAAUUCAGCCCAGUUCGUAGAAGACAGAGGGAAUUCCUCAAUUAAGGUUCCUCAAUCCCUUUUUAAGGUUCCUUUUCCAAGCCUAAGUAGUAAUAAUGAAUCUAAUGAUGCUCUGAAUAAAAGCUCUUCAUCUUCAAAUGCAAAAUAUGAUGGCACAGUUACAGCACAUAUCAAUAAUUUGUGGCCUUCAUUCAAGUUCAGUAAGACUGAGGAUUCUCGGGUCAAGACUGCUUAUGAGGAUGCUGCAAAGAUUGCUGUUAAUGCUGCUAGCCCCAAGAUGCAAGAUCUCCAGAAGCCCCCUUCAUCUUUAGGGACUAAACCAGUGUUGCCUUCAAUUUCUGUCGGCAGACCUGAACAAAGGUGGACAUUUCCUUCUGAUAAUACUGCAGGGUUUACUUUUCCGGUUUCUUCUUCUGGUGCAUCAUCUGAGCCUCCAACACCGUCCAUCAUGCCAACCAUCUCAGCUAGCGUUCUGCAUCAACCAACAGAGAAACAUGAUAUUUGUUCGUACAGUUUUGGUUCAAAGAGGUCUAUACCUGCACUUGUCUUUUCUUUCCCAUCCACGAGCAGUGCAUCUAACCACGAUGAAGUAUCAGAUGUAAAGUUCAGCUUUGGAUCAGACAAGACGACAAGGAUAUCUUUCAGUUCAUUAGGGAAAGAUGCUAUCUGCUGUUAAAAAUGACUUUGGGUGCUGUGCUGAGUUAUGGGUUGGUUAAUAUUCAUUGGGAUUAGAGAAGUGUGCAAGAAAUUGUUAGAUUUAACUCCAUUAGGAUUUACUAAUGCUAUUCUUUUUCUGGGUUCUGAUUUCCAGCAGAUUACUGAGGUUAGCGCUGCGUUAGAGCAUCAUAAGAUUGUAAUAAUAGUUGGUUGAACAAAAGAUGAGGCUGAAAGCUGAAGUUGAUCACAGAGUAUUUUCUGGCAUGAUUUGCAACAUCACAGCACCCCAAGAGGCAGCUUCUUGUUCUUUUGCACUUCAUGUCCUCCCCGAGAGAUGGCAUUGGUUAGUGGUGUGUAGUAGUAAAAUGGGUUUGUAAACCAUGUAAGUAUAUAGAGAGAGACGUGGCACAGGUUCGGUUCGCACAUUUGAUUCGACGAAGGGGGAAUAAGUAUAUAAUAGAGGAACAUGAUUCCACUAGAAUCAUAUAUUGCCUCCAUUUUCACGACAAGAACUUGUCCUCUCUAUCUGCUUAAAAUCCUUCUUCGUCCCCACUCUGUGGCCCACCAUCAUGUCUGCAAGAUAUAAAUGAUGAAUAGAGAGUCAGUCUAAGUGAGGAGGGAGAAGUGAAAUAACAAUGGAAAUUGGAAAUUGGAAAUUGGAAAUUGGAAAAGUAGGCAUGAAUUUGACGUUUCAGAUUCUAAUGUCAGAAAUGGGUUGCAGUCUACUACCAAGGCCAGCUGCAACAGCAGCUUGAGCUUAGUCGUAUUGCACUUGUUUUCCCGACUGGUGACUUUUACCAUCUGGCUAUCGCACACUCCACCAUUUAUUUUCUCUUUAUAUUUUUCAUACACCAUCUUUCUUAUUAGACAACUUUUAUAUAUAGGUUUGUAUGUAUAUUUGGUGACUCGUGAUCUACUACCAUCUGCUUCCAGAUCCCGAGGACAUGUCAAUCAUUUAAGUCUUUCUA